UUUGGGCUGCUGCAAUACACU
rnacentral:siRNA from 1 species